rnacentral:rRNA from 1 species
AUUGAACGCUGGCGGAAUGCUUUACACAUGCAAGUCGAACGGCAGCACGGGGGCAGCCCUGGUGGCGCGUGGCGAACGGGUGAGUAAUACAUCGGAACGUGCCCGGUCUUGGGGGCUAACGUAGCGACAGUUACGCUAAUACCGCAUACGAUCUGAUGAUGAAAGCGGGGGACCUUCGGGCCUCGCGCGUUCUGAGCGGCCGGUGUCAGAUUAGGUAGUUGGUGGGGUAAAGGCCUACCAAGCCGACGAUCUGUAGCAGGUCUGAGAGGACGACCAGCCACACUGGAACUGAGACACGGCCCAGACUCCUACGGGAGGCAGCAGUGGGGAAUUUUGGACAAUGGGCGCAAGCCUGAUCCAGCCAUUCCGCGUGCAGGACGAAGGCCUUCGGGUUGUAAACUGCUUUUGUACGGAACGAAAAGGCUCUGGCUAAUACCUGGGGCUCAUGACGGUACCGUAAGAAUAAGCACCGGCUAACUACGUG